rnacentral:rRNA from 1 species
CGGAGGGUGCAAGCGUUAUCCGGAUUUACUGGGUUUAAAGGGUGUGUAGGCGGACUUUUAAGUCAGCGGUGAAAUCUCCGGGCUCAACCCGGAAACUGCCAUUGAUACUAUUGGUCUUGAAUGUUGUUGAGGUGGGCGGAACGGGUCAUGUAGCGGUGAAAUGCAUAGAUAUGACCCGGAACACCGAUUGCGAAGGCAGCCCACUAAGCAAUGAUUGACGCUGAGGCACGAAAGCGUGGGGAUCAAACAGGAUUAGAUACCCUGGUAGUCCACGCCCUAAACGAUGAUUACUCGACGUUGGCGAUACACUGAUCAGCGUCCAAGCGAAAGCAUUAAGUAAUCCACCUGGGAAGUACGUUCGCAAGAAUG